GGGGGUGUAGCUUAGUGGUAGAGCGCUUGUUUAGUAUGCAAGGGGCUCCGAGUUUGAUCCCAGCACCACCA
rnacentral:tRNA from 1 species